rnacentral:rRNA from 1 species
ACUCCUACGGGAGGCAGCAGUGGGGAAUAUUGCACAAUGGGCGCAAGCCUGAUGCAGCCAUGCCGCGUGUAUGAAGAAGGCCUUCGGGUUGUAAAGUACUUUCAGCAGUGAGGAAGGUGGGUAUGUUAAUAGCAUACUCAUUUGACGUUAGCUGCAGAAGAAGCACCGGCUAACUCCGUGCCAGCAGCCGCGGUAAUACGGAGGGUGCGAGCGUUAAUCGGAAUUACUGGGCGUAAAGCGCAUGCAGGUGGUUUGUUAAGUCAGAUGUGAAAGCCCGGGGCUCAACCUCGGAAUUGCAUUUGAAACUGGCAAACUAGAGUACUGUAGAGGGGGUAGAAUUUCAGGUGUAGCGGUGAAAUGCGUAGAGAUCUGAAGGAUACCGGUGCGAAGGCGGCCCCUGGACAGAUACUGACACUCAGAUGCGAAAGCGUGGGGAGCAAACAGGAUUAGAUACCCUGAUAGGCUCUGC